GAUGAACGCUGGCGGCGUGCCUAAUACAUGCAAGUCGAGCGAACGGGCGAGAAGCUUGCUUCUCUGAUGUUAGCGGCGGACGGGUGAGUAACACGUGGAUAACCUCCCUAUAAGACUGGGAUAACUUCGGGAAACCGGAGCUAAUACCGGAUGAUAUUUUGAACCGCAUGGUUCAAAAGUGAAAGACGGUCUUGCUGUCACUAAUAGAUGGAUCCGCGCUGCAUUAGCUAGUUGGUAAGGUAACGGCUUAUCAAGGCAACGAUGCAUAGCCGACCUGAGAGAGUGGUCGGCGACACUGGAACUUAGACACGGUCCAGAGUCCUACGGGAGGCAGCAGUAUGGAACCGUCGGCAGUGGGCGGAAACCUUACGGAGCAGCGCGGAGUGAGUGACGAAAAUCUCCGGUUCGUGAAACUCUGUUAUGAGUGAAGAACAUAUGUGUAAGGAACUGUACAGAUCUUGACGGUAACUAAUCAGAAAGCCACGGCUAACUACGUG
rnacentral:rRNA from 1 species